rnacentral:misc_RNA from 1 species
UUUCCGUAGGUGAACCUGCGGAAGGAUCAUUAAAGAGUAAGGGUCCUCUAGGCCCGACCUCCCAACCCUUUGUUUACCAAACCAAUGUUGCUUCGGCGGGCCCGUCUUAGGACCGCCGGAGGACCGUCGAAACGUCCUCCGGCCCGCGCCCGUCGAUGGCCCUUAUUAUUAAACUCUAAACCAAACGUGUCCUGUCUGAGUGAUUAUUAUCAAAAUUAAAGCAAAAACUUUCAACAACGGAUCUCUUGGUUCUG